ACGGGGGUUGCAAGCGUUGUCCGGAAUUACUAGGCGUAAAGGGCAGGUAGGCGGAUUUAUAAGUUUAAUGUUUAAGGCAACGGCUCACCCGUUGUACGGCAUUAGAUACUGUAGAUCUGGAAUACGGUUGGGGAAGACAGAAUUCCUGGUGUAGCGGUGGAAUGCUCAUAGAUCAGGAGGAAUACCGAAGGCGAAGGCACCCAUCUAAGACGUUCUUGACGCUAAACUGCGAAGGUGUGGGUAUCAAACUG
rnacentral:rRNA from 1 species